GAUCCUCUCUGUUGUGAUUCAUCCCCCCCAGGCCCUACAGUUUCUCCUUCCUGACUCUUACAUUUCUUUGGAUGGCAUCACUAUUUUAGUUGCCAAGCACUGUGGAUUCUACCCCUCAGGGUCCAGACACCCAUUUUCCUUCCCACUGUUCCCUCCCCAUGGAGAAGCCUGUGGCUGACUGACAGCUCAACUUGGAGAAGGUGUUACCUGGGCCAGGUGGGGAAGGUAGGGUUGUUUGCAGAGCAAAGAAGUGAAGCCAGCCACCUCAAGAAAGAACAGUUCAUGUGCAGGUGACCAUGUAGUUCAAGUCAUCAUUAAAUCCAAAGCUGAGCAGCCAUGAUGCUAUUGGUGGAAUUGCCCUUGACCAAGAGAAAUCCAUCUUGAUUGUCUCAAUAAUUGGCUCAAGGGCCAUUGAUGAUGAGGUCCUAAAUUUAAUUCCUAAUAAAACCCCUGAAGUUUUAGAGGCAAAAUGAGAAAGCAUAGCUCACAAAUACCUUGACCAAUGACUUGCCUAUUCAAUGUGAAAAAGAUGAGGGCGAAGACCUUUAUGAUGAUCCAAGUAAUGAACA
rnacentral:antisense_RNA from 1 species